GUCAUGUGACAAUUAACCAAUAUCAGAGAGCCAUAAAGAUGCAAAUGCAUUGUUGAAUAAAAGCUUAAAUUCUCAGGGGGACUUCAAGUAAAUAUAUAGCGUCUAACGGGUUCAGCUGACAAAAAUGUUUGGGAAUCUCUGAUCUGUACCAUUAGAGUAGGAACAAAAGUGUACUGUACAUAGAGAAAGAACAGCAUGUGUCCAUUUAUUUACCUUUGGAAAGAAAAACAUGCAUCCUGAAAUAAAACAGAGCAAAGUACAUUAACAUAAAUCAAACGGACCCUAGAACAGCUGAUUUCAGCCUAGACGUGCAUUAGGAAUGGAUCGAGGAAAUUAAAACAAUCACAUCUUUUAUGGUUAUGAUAUGUGAGCAAACUACAGAUUAGCAGCAGCUGGAUAUCGGAUGGCUACAGAUGAAGAUUGUCAUUGCAUUCAAGUGUUAAGCAUCAAUGUGCAAUUUGCAGCUGUGCUCGUUAACUCUCUUUAUACCAUCAGAGUAUUAUACAGAUCAAUCAGACACAGUCAUUUAAAUGCUGCAGGUGUUUACAUGAGAAAUCAUCUGCAUCCACAGUUUGCCAUCCCAGAGCGUGCAGCAGGAAUCAGAGCGUCUUUACUUGUGCUUGCAGCGCUGGCUCCUCUGCCGGUAGAUCUCCUCAGUGAACGGUCUGCAAACAUGAGAAGCAGCUGUUCUUAACCUCUGUGACGUCACACACGUGUCAGGACCAGCAUGAUGAAAUAAACCACCUGCACUGCCAAUCAAUACCUUAGUUUUAUUUACAAGAAAAUAAAACUUAAACUUAACUUUUAAUCAAUGUCGUUUGCUGUUUCUUUGUAAUUGUUUGUCAAAUUCACUAGCAAUUUUUGUGUAAAAAUUGUUUCUACUUUUUUUUUAUUUUCGGCUUUCAAAAGUGCAAUUGCAUAAUUAAUUUAUUGCAAAAUAAAAUAGAGAGAGGAUAGAUAGGAAGCACUGUAGGAAGGUAGGAAGAUGUAGACAUGGGGGAAGCCACGUUAUUCUUGUAUUAAAUCUAAUAAAUCCCCUCCAGCUCUGAUGAAUUUUACGGUCACAUUUUUGAUUUCCAUCUGUUUUAGUUACACUAAGUUUGGGAUGGUAAGAUUUUUGGUUUUGGAAGGAAAUUAAUACUUUUAUUCAACAAGAACACAUUAAAUUGAUCGAAACUGACAGUUAAGAAAUUUAUAACAUUACAAAAUUGCUGUUUUGACGUUUCUUUUCAUCAAAGGAUCCUAAAAAGGAAAUGUAUCACCGUUUUCAUAAAAAAAAUUUGGCUUCACAAAUGUUUUCAACACUGAUAAUAAUCAGAAAUGUUUCUUGAGCUGCAAAUCAUCAUAUUAGAAUGAUUUCUGAAGAUCAUGUGACACUGAAGACUGGAGUAAUGAUGCUGAAAAUACAGCUGCACAUCACAGAAAUAAAUUACAGUUUAACAGAGAUUCACAUAGAAAACUGAUAUUUUAAAUAGUAAAAAUAUGUUUUUACUGCAAUGGGUGAGCAUAAGAGGCUUCUUUCAUUAACAAAUUUUAAAGACCGACACCCACUGAACAAAAGUGUAUAUUAAUGCUAUUUUCUAUAUAUACUAAUGAAUUCAUUAAAAAAAGAAGCAGACACUACAAUGUUCUUAAAAACAAGAAAAACAGAUCAUGAUCGGCCGUUUGAAAGUGGCUGAUGUGUGUGGAUACAGCUGUGCACCUUUGUGUGACCGUUAGCAUUAUUAAGAUGCUUAAGAUGGUCACUCUAGCAGUGAAUGGAAAAGAGCAGAGGAUGAAGGAGGAACAGCAUGAGAGGUGGUUUAAGAGUGUGUUGGCGUAGUGCCUACGUGCUUCUUCCCGAGCAGAGGUUAGAUGACAUGUAAGAGGGCUUGGAAACAUUAACAGUGAGCGAGUGUGUUGACGUCGAUUAGUGGAAGAAACCGCAUUAGCUUUUUAUCGUUGGUCACUGAAAUGUACUGGUGGAGGAGGCUUUUAAACAACAAAGGCUUUGGAAAAACAGGGAUCUACCUACAUUUCUCCAAAAAUGCAUUUACAGUACAUACAGUACAGUACAAACAGCAGCAUAUGGCAUUAAACACUGGGAGAGAUUAUCAAUUAAUAAAGACAGAUUUUAAUGUGGUUUCUUGCACAAUACUAUUAUGAUCUCAAAACACUUUUACUGUAGUGCAUGAUUUGUAAACUAACACAUUUUGAUGUUUGUAUCUUAGAACCAGCUCCAUAUGUUUGGCUUUUCUGAUGUAGUAAACUUGCUCGGUAGCGCACCCGGUACAGCAUUACACUUGUGAUGUGAAGCGCUCUGGUACAAGUCUGUUAAACACAAGUCACCAUAAAAGAGCUCAAAGACU
rnacentral:lncRNA from 1 species